rnacentral:miRNA from 1 species
AACUACUCUAACAGCCGGUGUAUU